rfam:Tortispora caseinolytica NRRL Y-17796 unplaced genomic scaffold CANCAscaffold_1, whole genome shotgun sequence.
GGGCUGAUAGUGUAGCGGUGAUCAUACUUGCCUUCCAAGCAAGUGACAGGGGUUCGACUCCCCUUCAGCUCA